rnacentral:rRNA from 1 species
CCUACGGGACGCAGCAGUAGGGAAUCUUCCACAAUGGGCGAAAGCCUGAUGGAGCAACGCCGCGUGGGUGAAGAAGGUCCUCGGAUCGUAAAACCCUGUUGUUAGAGAAGAAAGUGCGUGAGAGUAACUGUUCACGCUUCGACGGUAUCUAACCAGAAAGCCACGGCUAACUACGUGCCAGCAGCCGAGGUAAUACGUAGGGGGCAAGCGUUAUCCGGAUUUAUUGGGCGUAAAGGGAACGCAGGCGGUCUUUUAAGCCUGAUGUGAAAGCCUUUGGCUUAACCGGAGUGGG